rnacentral:lncRNA from 1 species
GUCUAUCCCAUGUCCCAUGUAGAUCCUGUGUCCAUCCUGUGUCCCGUGUAGAUCCCAUGUCCCUCCCAUGUCCUUCCUGUGUCCAUCCCGUGUAGAUCCUGUGUCCUUCCCGUGUCCAUCCUGUGUCCAUCCCGUGUCCUUCCUAUGUCCCAUGUAGAUCCUGUGUCCCUCCCAUGUCCUUCCAGUGUCCAUCCCAUGUCUCAUGUCCAUCCCAUGUCCCUCCCAUGUCCUUCCAGUGUCUAUCCUGUGUCCAUCCCAUGUCCUUCCCAUGUCCCAUGUAGAUCCCAUGUCCCUCCCGUGUCCAUCCCGUGUCCAUCCCAUGUCCCGUGUAGAUCCCAUGUCCCUCCCAUGUCCAUCCUGUGUCCAUCCCGUGUCCUAUGUCCAUCCCGUGUCCCAUGUAGAUCCCAUGUCCCUCCCAUGUCCAUCCCGUGUCCAUCCCGUGUCCAUCCCAUGUCCUAUGUCCAUCCCGUGUCCCAUGUAGAUCCCAUGUGCCUCCCAUGUCCCUCCUGUGUCCCUCCUGUGUCCAUCGUAGAUCCCAUGUAAAUCCCAUGUAGAUCCCAUGUCCUUCCCGUGUCCCUCCCGUGUCCAUCCCAUGUCCUUCCCAUGUCCCAUGUAGAUCCCGUGUCCAUCCCAUGUUGCGUGUAGAUCCCAUGUCCUUUCCAUGUCCAUCCCAUGUCCUUCCUGUGGCCUUCCCAUGUAGAUCCCGUGUCCAUCCCAUGUAAAUCCCAUGUAGAUCCCAUGUCC